rnacentral:lncRNA from 1 species
ACCCCAGCGGCAACAAUUAUCUUUGCUCAAAAUUUCCUCUUUUACAUUCAUUUAAACUUUGUGAUUCUUCCAUUCCUCGGUUCGGCCAACAAGCUUCAUGUACAUGAUCUAACAACCAAAAAGUGGGGAUUAGUGAUGAAAUUUAAAUUAAUUCAACUUAAGGUAUAACUACUUAAAAACUUAACAAAUUGAGGCAUAAAGAAGGUGCAAAGUUAAGAAAGAGUUGACAUUUUCUCUCAAUUCAAUACUGAGAUCAUGGUAAAAUAUGUCAUUAUCAACUCCCCAAAACUUAGAACCUUGCUUGUCCUCAAGCAAAAG